rnacentral:rRNA from 1 species
UACGUAGGGUGCGAGCGUUAAUCGGAAUUACUGGGCGUAAAGCGUGCGCAGGCGGUUCGUUGUGUCGGUGGUGAAAUCCCCGGGCUUAACCUGGGAAUGGCCAUGGAAACUGGCUGGCUAGAGUGUGGCAGAGGGGGGUGGAAUUCCGCGUGUAGCAGUGAAAUGCGUAGAGAUGCGGAGGAACACCGAUGGCGAAGGCAGCCCCCUGGGCUAGCACUGACGCUCAGGCACGAAAGCGUGGGGAGCAAACAGG